rnacentral:rRNA from 1 species
UACGUAGGGGGCGAGCGUUGUCCGGAUUUAUUGGGCGUAAAGAGCUCGUAGGCAGCUCAGUAAGUCGGGUGUGAAAACUCCAGGCUCAACCUGGAGACGCCACCCGAUACUGCUGUGGCUAGAGUCCGGUAGGGAAGCAUGGAAUUCCUGGUGUAGCGGUGAAAUGCGCAGAUAUCAGGAGGAACACCAGUGGCGAAGGCGGUGCUCUGGGCCGGAACUGACGCUGAGGAGCGAAAGCGUGGGGAGCAAACAGG